rnacentral:rRNA from 1 species
CCUACGGGAGGCUGCAGUGGGGAAUAUUGGACAAUGGGCGAAAGCCUGAUCCAGCCAUGCCGCGUGUGUGAAGAAGGCCUUCGGGUUGUAAAGCACUUUCAGUGGGGAAGAAAGCCUUGGGGCUAAUACCCUCGAGGAAGGACAUCACCCACAGAAGAAGCACCGGCUAACUCCGUGCCAGCAGCCGCGGUAAUACGGAGGGUGCGAGCGUUAAUCGGAAUUACUGGGCGUAAAGCGCGCGUAGGCGGUCUGAUAAGCCGGUUGUGAAAGCCCCGGGCUCAACCUGGGAACGGCAUCCGGAACUGUCAGGCUAGAGUGCAGGAGAGGAAGGUAGAAUUCCCGGUGUAGCGGUGAAAUGCGUAGAGAUCGGGAGGAAUACCAGUGGCGAAGGCGGCCUUCUGGACUGACACUGACGCUGAGGUGCGAAAGCGUGGGUAGCAAACAGGAUUAGAUCCCCUUGUAGUC